rnacentral:lncRNA from 1 species
CUUGUUCGACUACGGUCCAUAGGUAAGUAAAAUGAAUUUAUUUAUAAAAUGAAUUUUGUUUUAAUGCAAGUGAACUAUGGUGGUGUUGGUAAUCAUUCCUGAGGGAAUGGUUUCAUAUAUAUAUAUUUAUGUGAAAUAAAUAUUGGAUGGUGUGAUAUUGGAUGAAGUAUUGAUAUGGUUAAAUGAGUUAUGAUCCGAGCAUUACUCUUGUGAAGAUAUAAAUUAUCUUAUAAGUUGAGUUGAGUAUGAGAAAGAAUAUAAAUUAUCUUAUAAGUUGAGUUGAGUAUG